rnacentral:other from 13 species
GUUGACCUUACAGCAAUCUAAUCACAAAUUUUUACUUCACAAAAAAAAAACCCCUUCGUCAACUG